GCCCCGUUCGUCUAGAGGCCUAGGACGCUCGCCUCUCACGUGAGCAACAGGGGUUCGAAUCCCCUACGGGGCGCCA
rnacentral:tRNA from 1 species